GGGUUGUGAGGUUAAGCGACUAAGCGUACACGGUGGAUGCCCUGGCAGUCAGAGGCGAUGAAGGGCGUGCUAAUCUGCGAUAAGCGCCGGUAAGGUGAUAUGAACCGUUAUAACCGGCGAUACCCGAAUGGGGAAACCCAGUGUGAUUCGUCACACUAUCAUUAACUGAAUCCAUAGGUUAAUGAGGCGAACCGGGGGAACUGAAACAUCUAAGUACCCCGAGGAAAAGAAAUCAACCGAGAUUCCCCCAGUAGCGGCGAGCGAACGGGGAGGAGCCCAGAGCCUGAAUCAGCAUGUGUGUUAGUGGAAGCGUCUGGAAAGGCGCGCGAUACAGGGUGACAGCCCCGUACACAAAAGCGCAUGUGCUGUGAGCUCGAUGAGUAGGGCGGGACACGUGGUAUCCUGUCUGAAUAUGGGGGGACCAUCCUCCAAGGCUAAAUACUCCUGACUGACCGAUAGUGAACCAGUACCGUGAGGGAAAGGCGAAAAGAACCCCGGCGAGGGGAGUGAAAAAGAACCUGAAACCGUGUACGUACAAGCAGUGGGAGCCCCACCACCAAAGCAUUCUCUGGUGUUGAAGGCCCUGCAAAGCAGCAUCGCGGUGGCGGAGCGUCGUUUGCGACGCCCAACACACAAAACAAGCGGUGAGUGCUUUGGGGUGGGGUGACUGCGUACCUUUUGUAUAAUGGGUCAGCGACUUAUAUUCUGUAGCAAGGUUAACCGAAUAGGGGAGCCGGAGGGAAACCGAGUCUUAAUUGGGCGUUAAGUUGCAGGGUAUAGACCCGAAACCCGGUGAUCUAGCCAUGGGCAGGUUGAAGGUUGGGUAACACUAACUGGAGGACCGAACCGACUAAUGUUGAAAAAUUAGCGGAUGACCUGUGGCUGGGGGUGAAAGGCCAAUCAAACCGGGAGAUAGCUGGUUCUCCCCGAAAGCUAUUUAGGUAGCGCCUCGUGAAUUCAUCUCCGGGGGUAGAGCACUGUUUCGGCUAGGGGGCCAUCCCGGCUUACCAACCCGAUGCAAACUGCGAAUACCGGAGAAUGUUAUCACGGGAGACACACGGCGGGUGCUAACGUCCGUCGUGAAGAGGGAAACAACCCAGACCGCCAGCUAAGGUCCCAAAGUCAUGGUUAAGUGGGAAACGAUGUGGGAAGGCCCAGACAGCCAGGAUGUUGGCUUAGAAGCAGCCAUCAUUUAAAGAAAGCGUAAUAGCUCACUGGUCGAGUCGGCCUGCGCGGAAGAUGUAACGGGGCUAAACCAUGCACCGAAGCUGCGGCAGCGAACGUAUCACUUAAAGCGAUUCAGCGGGUUACGAUUGACGGAGCGAAGCGACGUCAAAGCGUAUACAAAGUCGAGUCGGUUUAAGGAUACGUUCGUUGGGUAGGGGAGCGUUCUGUAAGCCUGCGAAGGUGGCCUGUGAGGGUUGCUGGAGGUAUCAGAAGUGCGAAUGCUGACAUAAGUAACGAUAAAGCGGGUGAAAAGCCCGCUCGCCGGAAGACCAAGGGUUCCUGUCCAACGUUAAUCGGGGCAGGGUGAGUCGACCCCUAAGGCGAGGCCGAAAGGCGUAGUCGAUGGGAAACGGGUUAAUAUUCCCGUACUUGGUGUUACUGCGAAGGGGGGACGGAGAAGGCUAUGUUGGCCGGGCGACGGUUGUCCCGGUUUAAGCGUGUAGGUGUGUGUUCCAGGUAAAUCCGGUUCACUUUAACACUGAGGCGUGACGACGAGGCACUACGGUGCUGAAGCAACAAAUGCCCUGCUUCCAGGAAAAGCCUCUAAGCAUCAGGUAACAUCAAAUCGUACCCCAAACCGACACAGGUGGUCAGGUAGAGAAUACCAAGGCGCUUGAGAGAACUCGGGUGAAGGAACUAGGCAAAAUGGUGCCGUAACUUCGGGAGAAGGCACGCUGACACGUAGGUGAAGUGAUUUACUCACGGAGCUGAAGUCAGUCGAAGAUACCAGCUGGCUGCAACUGUUUAUUAAAAACACAGCACUGUGCAAACACGAAAGUGGACGUAUACGGUGUGACGCCUGCCCGGUGCCGGAAGGUUAAUUGAUGGGGUCAGCGCAAGCGAAGCUCCUGAUCGAAGCCCCGGUAAACGGCGGCCGUAACUAUAACGGUCCUAAGGUAGCGAAAUUCCUUGUCGGGUAAGUUCCGACCUGCACGAAUGGCGUAAUGAUGGCCAGGCUGUCUCCACCCGAGACUCAGUGAAAUUGAACUCGCUGUGAAGAUGCAGUGUACCCGCGGCAAGACGGAAAGACCCCGUGAACCUUUACUAUAGCUUGACACUGAACAUUGAGCCUUGAUGUGUAGGAUAGGUGGGAGGCUUUGAAGUGUGGACGCCAGUCUGCAUGGAGCCGACCUUGAAAUACCACCCUUUAAUGUUUGAUGUUCUAACGUGGACCCGUGAUCCGGGUUGCGGACAGUGUCUGGUGGGUAGUUUGACUGGGGCGGUCUCCUCCUAAAGAGUAACGGAGGAGCACGAAGGUUGGCUAAUCCUGGUCGGACAUCAGGAGGUUAGUGCAAUGGCAUAAGCCAGCUUGACUGCGAGCGUGACGGCGCGAGCAGGUGCGAAAGCAGGUCAUAGUGAUCCGGUGGUUCUGAAUGGAAGGGCCAUCGCUCAACGGAUAAAAGGUACUCCGGGGAUAACAGGCUGAUACCGCCCAAGAGUUCAUAUCGACGGCGGUGUUUGGCACCUCGAUGUCGGCUCAUCACAUCCUGGGGCUGAAGUAGGUCCCAAGGGUAUGGCUGUUCGCCAUUUAAAGUGGUACGCGAGCUGGGUUUAGAACGUCGUGAGACAGUUCGGUCCCUAUCUGCCGUGGGCGCUGGAGAACUGAGGGGGGCUGCUCCUAGUACGAGAGGACCGGAGUGGACGCAUCACUGGUGUUCGGGUUGUCAUGCCAAUGGCACUGCCCGGUAGCUAAAUGCGGAAGAGAUAAGUGCUGAAAGCAUCUAAGCACGAAACUUGCCCCGAGAUGAGUUCUCCCUGAGACUUAGAGUCUCCUGAAGGAACGUUGAAGACGACGACGUUGAUAGGCCGGGUGUGUAAGCGCAGCGAUGCGUUGAGCUAACCGGUACUAAUGAACCGUGAGGCUUAACCUUACAACGCCGAAG
rnacentral:rRNA from 3 species